rnacentral:rRNA from 1 species
CCUACGGGAGGCAGCAGUGGGGAAUUUUGGACAAUGGGCGCAAGCCUGAUCCAGCCAUUCCGCGUGAGUGAAGAAGGCCUUCGGGUUGUAAAGCUCUUUCGGCAGGGAAGAAACGGUAUGGGUUAAUACCCUGUGCUAAUGACGGUACCUGAAGAAGAAGCACCGGCUAACUACGUGCCAGCAGCCGCGGUAAUACGUAGGGUGCGAGCGUUAAUCGGAAUUACUGGGCGUAAAGCGUGCGCAGGCGGUUUUGUAAGACAGAUGUGAAAUCCCCGGGCUUAACCUGGGAACUGCGUUUGUGACUGCAAGACUCGAGUACGGCAGAGGGGGGUGGAAUUCCACGUGUAGCAGUGAAAUGCGUAGAGAUGUGGAGGAACACCGAUGGCGAAGGCAGCCCCCUGGGUCGAUACUGACGCUCAUGCACGAAAGCGUGGGGAGCAAACAGGAUUAGAUACCCUGGUAGUCCACGCCCUAGACGAUGCCAACUAGGUGUUGGGGAAGGAGACUUCCUUAGUACCGUAGCUAACGCGUGAAGUUGGCCGCCUGGGGAGUACGGGUCGCAAGAUUAAAACNCAAAAGGAAUUGACGG